GGGGAUUUAGCUCAGUGGCAUAAGCGCCUGCCUGACAAGCACAAGGUGUGAGUUCAAUCCCCA
rnacentral:tRNA from 1 species